GAGCAAGUAACGUCUAAAUUAACUUUUUUUUGCUGAUGAACUGUAUAAAUGAGUGUCUAAUAGUGUUUUAAAUGUGUGUAUUCAUUAUUUUAGCAUUUUGGUGCAUUUUCUUAAAAAAUUAAAAAUUCUGCCUAAAUACCACAGUAUAGCUCCACCUUCAGCUUAAAACAUAGAAUUUGACUCAUUUUGAAUAAAUUUUAGCCAAUGGCUAAAGAGUAAGAUACUACGUAAUCCAGUAGAGUACUACGUAGCAGCUCUGUGUCAACGUUAUAAAAGCAUCGGGAGUCUCGGCCACGCCUUGUGGCGAGUUGGGAGUUGGAUUUGCAUGAGAGUGUAGGAGGCUAGCCGUAGUUCAGCAUUAGCAUAUAGCAUUAGCAUAUCCUAGUCUUUAGCAUAGCUUUUAGUGUUAUACAUACUUAUUUAGUGUUAGCUUGACUGUUGGAUAUUGUAGUUUAGUUACUGUUUGGCUGUUAGUGUAAUUAGGAAAGUAGUUCGGGUUUAGUGCUCCAUAUCGUGUUAGCAUGGUGAGAUGGUGUAGUGUAGUAUGGUUGCGGAGCUCUGUCGGGUUGCACUCCUUUCCGCUGGACUUAGAAAUUAGGCGCCAGUGGUUGCGUGUCUGGAAAAGAUUCAGCUCCCGCCUGGUGCUGUAGUUUGCAACCAGCAUUUUACCCGCGAUUCUGCACGUCUCCGUUCCAAGAGGGAGGUUGUGCCCACCGUGGCUCUUCCGCGAUUUAGAUACAGACCACCGACUCUGCUCCCCCACCAUGACGGGCUCCAGUCUGAGGCUAAAUCUACCCAAGACACUGGCUGUCAGACUGAUUUAGUAAUCUGCAAGAAUGCACUUGUCCAGGCUGACGUGAAGCCUUGCCCGUAGCAAAGAGCUCACAGCCUCAGUGUCUUGUGACACAGGGACCAUGACAGAAAUUCAUCUUCCAGAAGGUCCCAGAGCAUCCACACCCCCUGAAAAGACCACGGUGUGAGGUGUCUGCUGUUGAUUCCAGCUUCCACCUCAGUGACAGUGCAAGCUCAGUGAACUGUUCAAGGAGGCUACUGAUUCUGGCCCUGUGACACUUGGUGGUCACCACCAGGUGGUGACGUGUGAGCUGAUUCACCUGGACACUCAGCAAAAUAUGGACUCUACACCAUGAGGCAGGCACACGUUAAUAACUCUAUAAGAGUACAUAAGGUAAGCAACACCACAUAUUAUUUUUAUUACUGUACACUGUCCUGGAUUUGUUUUCUUUCUGCAUGAUUUGUUUUCUUUCUGCAUCUCAUCAUUAGCCUGGCUGAUCACCUGAUAACUCAUGUUAUCUGGUUAUGACAGCAUGAGGAUGUCCUCACACACCUGUAACCUACCAGCUCAUCUGGCAGAAUAGAGAGAGAAGAGACAACACCACAUCUCCUGUUCCUGGAAAGCCUUCAGCCAUCCUUCGAUGACUGAGAACCUCCAUCAGCUCUGUCUCCUGUCUGCCUACAAUUAUUAUAAUAAAUAUUGUGUUUGACAAGUU